GGGGGGAAACGUGGGAGCGUGGGGGGGUCGGCCGGUUCCAUCCAUGCAAAGGGAGAGGGAGGGGGCAGUUGCUGGGGGUGGGAGGAGGAGCUGACAAGCGGGCCCCGCUUGUCGGAGAGAGAGAGAAAGGGAAGGGGUAGCCGGCUGGGCCUUGGCCCAGGAAGAAAGAAAGGGGCGCGAGGUUGGGCCCUGCAGGCCGAAAACGAGUGGGGGGAAAAUAGGGGGAGAGAGGUUUUCUUUUCUUUUUUUUUUUCUUUUUUUUCCCUUUUUCAAACCAAUUUUCAAAUACCUUUUCAAAUUGAAUUUUUUAACAAAUUUGACAUUUUGUUUUUAAAACAAUCAUCACCAUAAAAAUGCACCAACAUGUAUGCAUCAAAAAUUUUCUAAACUUAUAUUAAAUUUUUAAUUCUCCAAAUUUAUUUAUUUUUCCUAUAUUUUGAUGCUCACAAAAUUGACUAUAAAAUCAAAUUCAUCUAUUUAAAAACAAACAAAUUUUAGGGUGUUACAAUUCUACCCCCCUUAAAAAUGAAUCUCGUCCUCGAGAUUCGAAAGAGGCUCAGAUCCUUUGAGAGAAAUAGGAAAAUAUCUUGAUAAUCCUUUCAACUUCACAACUUGCAUACCAAAUGUAAACACUUAUACCUCAAGGUCACAUCUCGUGAACAACAUUUCCAUUGAAUGACUAUUAUUCAUAGUUGACCGAAGUCCUUCUUGACUACUAAUCCUCUUAGCUUACAACUCCAAGAGACAUAGAAACUUAAUAUGCAUUUGCUUCAUCAGGUAGGAGUGGACCACCGUGAUACUCAAUUCUUUUUCCUCACGGUGCUGUUAAGAGCAUUUUGUACUGGGUACCAUGGAUCACUCCUUUGUGUGCACACAACCAUCCAUUACCAAGGACCAAGGGAAGACCAAGUGACUCUAGCACAAUGAGGUUUGCAGUGAAGUUUUCCUUGUUUAUGACGAGAUUGAUAUUUGAACACACCUGAUUUGUUUGUAUUUCUCCCACUGGGGUUUGAACUAACAAAGGCUUCCUCGUUGGGCACUUCACCCUCUCGAUUGUCUUUACGAGGUCGGUGGAAAUGAAAGAAUGCGAAGCACUCGGGUCAAACAGAGCAAAAACUAACACUGAGUCCACUUGAAUAUAUCCACCCACCACUUUGGUAGCUCCAAGAAUGUUAUGCCUAUCCACGUUGCUCAGUCUUCCAUUGAUAUAGUCUCGUUGCACCCUACAUCCACGAGCAGGCUUCUUACGGCUUUUCCUUUUUCUCUUUCGCCGUUGUGAAUUCUGAUUUGAUUCACUUCCAACUUGCUCUUGAGUAUUAUUAUUUUGAUAGCACUCAGUUUCAUCAUACUCAUAACAUUCUUCAAAGGCAGGAUCAUCAUUCUGUUCCCACGUAUCAGUAAGAGGCAUCAUAUAGGACUCCUGUUCCAUGGGAUACUACACUCCCUGUCAUCAAGUGACCAACGUCAAUGACACGAGAAGGAGAGAUGAUCAUAUUCAUAGAAUAUCUCACGAGACAACUCUCACUUCAAGAUAAGUUGAAAAUGCAUCAACCCAUGAUAUCAAGGUUCUACCCCCCUUAAGAAACGUCAACUAGGAGGCACAAGGAAGGUAGCUUGCACUUUUUCUUGACAAGUUAUUUUGCACUGAGACCUUUUGACAUCCCAAGAAACUUAUGUGCAAGGAAGAAACAAAUAUCCUGAUUUUCCUCGCGAUAUGAAAAUUACUAGUGCAGUAAAAUAGACAUAACUCUUGUUCUGUUAACCCAAUAGGGCCAUAGCUUAUACCGUUAGAAAGAUUAGAAAAUUUUCUACAACCUUUCUGUAGAACACUUUUCCAAAUUCUAUAGUUAUGUUUGUCCAAAACAGUAGGCAACCAAAACUGGUCCAGGUUCUUGACAGCACAUCUGUAUCGUCUUGUGAUUUUUUGUAACUUCCAAACCAUAAUAGCUAUGGGGGUGAUUCUUGCGGUCAGAGAAAGAUCUUGAAGUCCACUCUCAUCCAGAAUUUUAUCAUGAUUUUUAUUCAUCCAAGAUCAGAGACAUAAGCCGAUAAAGAUGAGAUACUCUAGAAAGGCACGAUAAGGUAACAAGAGAAAAACCAAAACCCAACUAUUUAUGUCAUUAAUCCUUAUGCCUUAGACAUAUAAACUAAAUGAAAUUGUGAAGAAACUCACAAGAUCUUUACACUCAUUACAAAGAUCCAAAGCAAACAUAAACAUAAAGACAAUUCAACCAAGCAGUAAAGUUUCACAAGGCACACAAACUUGACUUUCGCUGCUACCGUUUUUAUUACACAAGGGCACAAACUCCUAUAUCUUAAACUCAGUGUGGCUUCUUUCAUGAUACUACUGUUGGUUCUUCUGUGGACAAGACUUUACAUAGUGUCCUUCCUGUCGGCAGUGAUAACACUUUUUCUUAGCUGGAUCCUUCGUGAUAUGAUUUUCCACUGAGGUGUUGCUCGGUGUGUUAUCAGUUUGCUGACUCUGAAGGUUUGUCUCUGGUUGGCUAGCUUUCUUCCUAACUUGGUUGAUCCUUCGAGGUUGAUACUCUUUAUAAGUGAUGGUCCAUCCAUCUAUGCAUACCUCAUGAGCAGUGGGGUUAGCUUGAGAAGUUUCUUCAUCUCCAAGGUUUGGAUUUUCAUGGCCAGAGUUCAAAGCUAAAUGUGACAACAUAGGAUUUGAAUGUUGUUCACUUCCCAAUGCUGGAUCUAGUGAUUUUGCCUUCCUCUUCUUAUCCUCAUUAGUCCCACAAUUUGGUUUUACCUUAGCUUCCUUUUUAAAUGACCUAUUCCGACGACAAGGAAGACCAUAAUGCCUACAACAAUGGCAUUGAUCAUGAUAUCCUGAUGUAUUACUACCAGCACCUCCAUGGGUUCUUAUAUUUUUCCAAGCUUCUGCUACUUGUCUCUUCACUGGUCCUGAGAUGCACUGUUGAGAGUUCCCAAUCUGAGUCAUUCCUUCCACUACUUGCUUUCGCAUGGCUAGAAGCUUCUCUUUGUCGAAUGCUUUUACGAGUGGCAUUUCUGAGUCCUUUUGUUCAUUCAUGCCAAAGGUCUCCUUGUUAUGAACCAUCUAAAUAGACAAGGUGGAUGGACUUAGAAUAGAGACAAAGUUUUAUAAUAGAAUAGGGUAGAGGUAAGCAUAAUUUUUAGCAAUUAUCAAGGUUAAGGUGAAAGCAAGAAGUAAGCAGAGAUAGAAGCAUCCUAAAACGUCCGGUUCUAACUAGGCUUGCGUCCUACAGUCAGCAUUGCUUUGAUACCACUUUGUAACACCCGAUUUUAAGAACAAAAUCAGAUAUGCACCAUAUGUGAGUUUUAGAAGACAAGCCUCACAUAUAGCUACAAAUAAGGGGUAAUAUCAAAGGACAACGCAUAAGUUAUAUAGCGUAGAUAAUAAAUUAGAAACAACCUUGGGCAGCAAACACGGAAGAGAACUCCAAACUUCGGGUGUUAACCUCACUCUACAGAAUCCAACUGACUGGUUGAUCACAAGCCUAAAACUUCUCCUGAGGUGUGGGGGAGAUAGCAAGAGUGAGUCCAUGACGAACUCCGCAAGUAUAACAACUAGAUUGUAUAUAUCCCACAAUCUCAUGAUCAAUGUGACAUAAAUAAUAUAGAGCAUUAAACAAUAAUCAAUGAGUUUCUUAACACAAGAUUCAUCACCCUUAAUGUAAGAGUUCCCAAGGCCGCUCGUGACCGUGAGCACGGCUAGUAUACCAGCUUUUAACACUCUGCAGAGGUUGUACAUCUUUACCCAUGAGUCAUGAUUUACCCUUUCGCCUGAGGUGAUCAGCCUCGUAACCCACUACCAAGGUAGGUCGGCAGGGAUCACUAUGAAGUCUUUCAAAGGUUCGUCUAACAAGUUAGGGCCGCUUGGUUUCGUUAGUCAGUCCGUGUGAUUCUACCACUCGCAGGGAAUCCACGGUCUGCUAUCCCCCAUUUGCGCCACACGGGUAACCUCUAACAAGCUAGAAAAAUUACUCAUACUUGACUAAAGCCAGAGCCAUUAUAGCCCUCAUGGUUGCACUUUCAUCCCGGUUAUCACUUACGAAUAAAUCCUCAAGUUGCUAAAAAGUCAUUAUUAUCAUUUGUUGCUUUAUAUCGAUCUAGUCACAAGAUCAUGGUCAUAGAAUUAAAACCCAAAUGCUAUACUUGCCUUGAUCCAAUUGCUCCUGCUGGUCUUGCUGAUUUUACUUGCUUCCACGGCUCUGAUCUUGACCACCGAAGUAAAACUCACCGUCUACUCUCGAUCAUCGAUCAUCAACACACAAACAAUCGGAGACAGACAUACACGAAGCAAACAAGAUUACAAUUAGAACAGUACACCAGCAGUAAAUAAAUGUAAAUACAAGUUUUCCAAAAUCAUCUACACGCUGCUACGAUCACGUCAACGAGAAAUUCACGGAAAACGGAGUUACGACGCGAAAUCUACGCAUUAAACGGGACUGCAAAGACUAUCUACGUAUUUAUCUACGAAACCUAACAGUGGUGAACCUAGACAACAAUGGUACCAACGUAAAGCUUAUGAAAUUAUGAAACUAACGCAACUUGAACGGAUCGAAACGGAGCUAAAACGGAGAAGAUACGAAUUUUUUUUAAGAUUUUAUAUAGAAAAGUAUUUAAUUAAAUAGGGUCACAAAAUUUAAAAAGUUUCAAACUGAGUAAAUAAUAUUAUUAAAAUGUAGAGCUCAUGAUUUCGAAUCUAACACAAUUUGAAUGGGUCAAAUCGGAGUUAAAAUAAAUAUUUUAUGAGCAAAACAGUUUCAGUGGCAAAAUUGUAAAUACCAGAAAACGUAUUUUCAACACAACCGACAGACUUUACGUUUUUCAAAAAUAGAAAGCGCCUUUUGUGAGUGUGCUUUGGACUGUGGGUUCGAUAUUCAAACAGUCGAGGGGCUCUUUAAUAAAAUCGACACCGAAAGGUUAUCUUCUAAUCCUGAGCGCUGAUCUUGAAUCGGACGGCUGAGAAGGGUUGGGGAGGUUCUGGCCGGCCGGCGGCGAGUCCAGACGGCGGCACCAUGGCCGGACUUGCGUUCUCCUCACCGGAGUUAGGAGAUCCGGUGAUUUCGGGCAUGAUUCAAGAAACUAAUCACACCGGGAGCAAGAGGAGGGCAAGGUGAUCUCGUUCUCGUUCUCGGCCUCGGCGUGGCCGGGGAGAGCUCGCCGGAGCUCGCGGGGAACGGCACUAAGGGCCCCGAAACGGCGCAAGAAGAGUACGGGGAGAAAGAGGGGAAGAAUGCGAUGCUCACCACGGCGAAAACGGAGGCACUGGCGGCUCAAUUCGCUCGGGCGACGCGCGGCCGGAUGGAGAUGCUCCGACGGCGAUUCUCGGCGCUUGCGCACUGCGAGCGGGAGCGGGGAAAAGAAAAUGGGAGCAGCAGGGGGGGUGGCUCGGCUCACGCGCAUCCAAAAGGAGCGAGGCGCGGGGGAGGAAGAGAGGGGGGGGGAAACGUGGGAGCGUGGGGGGGUCGGCCGGUUCCAUCCAUGCAAAGGGAGAGGGAGGGGGCAGUUGCUGGGGGUGGGAGGAGGAGCUGACAAGCGGGCCCCGCUUGUCGGAGAGAGAGAGAAAGGGAAGGGGUAGCCGGCUGGGCCUUGGCCCAGGAAGAAAGAAAGGGGCGCGAGGUUGGGCCCUGCAGGCCGAAAACGAGUGGGGGAAAAUAGGGGGAGAGAGGUUUUCUUUUCUUUUUUUUUUCUUUUUUUUUCCCUUUUUCAAACCAAUUUUCAAAUACCUUUUCAAAUUGAAUUUUUUAAUAAAUUUGACAUUUUGUUUUUAAAACAAUCAUCACCAUAAAAAUGCACCAACAUGUAUGCAUCAAAAUUUUUCUAAACUUAUAUUAAAUUUUUAAUUCUCCAAAUUUAUUUAUUUUUCCUAUAUUUUGAUGCUCACAAAAUUGACUAUAAAAUCAAAUUCAUCUAUUUAAAAACAAACAAAUUUUAGGGUGUUACAAUCAACACUCAACAGGCUAACAAAAGUUAUUUAAACUAAACAUAUAAUUGCAGUCACUACGAGCUAUAGCUUCAGCCAUAAACUCUGAAUUUGCUACUUCACUGUAUCAUAUACUCAUCCUUCACAUAGCCGAGCCCUUCUUGAACAUCAUGAUUCCGAACCAAUCAGAAAAAAUGUUGUCAGAUGUCCAAGAAAAAAAAUAAAGAUGUGUCAUGUAUACCUCUUAUGCAGGCAUUUCUAUUACAUAAACCUACAUCUAAAUUGUUAUAAGUCUUAAAUUGUCAAAACCCGACAGUGACAUUUUCAUAUUGUUGCUAGAUCAAGCCAUGAAUAGACAGUGAUAUAUCAUUGUCACGUUAUAGCCCGAGUCAGCAUUGAUACCACACUUAUCACUUUCGGUUUGUGGCAUGAUCCGAUAACGAUAAUAGGUGCCUUCACUGCCGGGGUAAAUAACUUCUUCUAAAUUUUCUGAAUCCUAGGCUUAGAAUAAAUCAGCGGUGAAAGGCAAUCACUGUCGGGUCCAUCAUACAUGUAUGAGGUGUUACGGUACAGGUAUAAGAGAGUGAAGGACAGCACAUACACGCUGAUCUAUAUUUUGACAUUGUAUAUAAAUAUAGUUAUUAUACAUACUAUAUUUAUGGUACACAUAAUCGAUAUUUGAAUAUAUUAUCAUAAUAAACUUAUUAAUUUGGAGAUAUAAAUACUGCUAACAUAUAUACUUUUCUACAAAUCUACUAAAACUUAAGAAAGUUUAACUCACACGAAUUUCAUAACGAUAUUAAUUAAAAAGGCACGCAGAGAGGGAGUAGGUUUUAAUUAGGAGCA
rnacentral:lncRNA from 1 species